rnacentral:rRNA from 1 species
AGCGAACGUUAGCGGCAGGCUUAACACAUGCAAGUCGAACGCACCGCAAGGUGAGUGGCAGACGGGUGAGUAACGCGUGGGAACGUGCCCUUCAGUUCGGAAUAACCCAGGGAAACUUGGGCUAAUACCGGAUACGUGCGAGAGCAGAAAGAUUUAUCGCUGAAGGAUCGGCCCGCGUCUGAUUAGCUAGUUGGUGGGGUAAUGGCCCACCAAGGCGACGAUCAGUAGCNGGUCUGAGAGGAUGAUCAGCCACAUUGGGACUGAGACACGGCCCAAACUCCUACGGGAGGCAGCAGGUGGGGAAUAUUGGACAAUGGGCGCAAGCCUGAUCCAGCCAUGCCGCGUGAGUGAUGAAGGCCUUAGGGUUGUAAACCUCUUUAGUAGGGAAGAAGCGAAAGUGACGGUACCUGCAAGAAAAGCACCGGCUAACUACGUGCCAGCAGCCGCUGUAAU